rnacentral:rRNA from 1 species
AUACGUAGGUGGCGAGCGUUGUCCGGAAUUACUGGGCGUAAAGGAUGCGUAGGUGGAUAUUUAAGUGGGAUGUGAAAUCCCCGGGCUCAACCCGGGAACUGCAUUCCAAACUGGGUAUCUAGAGUGCAGGAGAGGAAAGCGGAAUUCCUAGUGUAGCGGUGAAAUGCGUAGAUAUUAGGAGGAACACCAGUGGCGAAGGCGGCUUUCUGGACUGUAACUGACACUGAGGCAUGAAAGCGUGGGUAGCAAACAGGAUUAGAUACCCUGGUAGUCCACGCCGUAAACGAUGGGUACUAGGUGUAGGAGGUAUCGACCCCUUCUGUGCCGUCGUUAACACAAUAAGUACCCCGCCUGGGGAGUACGGUCGCAAGACUAAAACUUAAAGGAAUUGACGGGG